GCGAGGUGGAGCAAAUCUCGAAAAAACGUCUCAGUUCGGAUUGUAGGCUGCAACCCGCCUACAUGAAGUCGGAAUUGCUAGUAAUCGUGGAUCAGCAUGCCACGGUGAAUACGUUCCCGGGCCUUGUACACACCGCCCGUCAAACCAUGAGAGUUGGCAACACCCGAAGCCUGUAGCUUAACCGCAAGGAUGGCGCAGUCGAAGGUGGGGUCGAUGAUUAGGGUUAAGUCGUAACAAGGUAUC
rnacentral:rRNA from 1 species